UACGUAGGGGGCAAGCGUUGUCCGGAUUUAUUGGGCGUAAAGAGCGUGUAGGCGGCCAUACAGGUCAGCUGUGAAAACUCGAGGCUCAACCUCGAGACGUCGGUUGAAACCGUAUGGCUAGAGUCCGGAAGAGGAGAGUGGAAUUCCCGGUGUAGCGGUGAAAUGCGCAGAUAUCAGGAGGAACACCGGUGGCGAAGGCGGGUCUCUGGGCCGAUACUGACACUGAGGAGCGAAAGCGUGGGGAGCGAACAGG
rnacentral:rRNA from 1 species